UACGGAGGGUCCGAGCGUUAUCCGGAAUUAUUGGGUUUAAAGGGUCCGUAGGCGGGCUGUUAAGUCAGAGGUGAAAGUCUGCGGCUCAACCGUAGAAUUGCCUUUGAUACUGGCGGUCUUGAGUUAUGGUGAAGUGGCUAGAAUAUGUAGUGUAGCGGUGAAAUGCAUAGAUAUUACAUAGAAUACCGAUUGCGAAGGCAGGUCACUAACCAUCGACUGACGCUGAUGGACGAAAGCGUGGGUAGCGAACAGG
rnacentral:rRNA from 1 species